rnacentral:rRNA from 1 species
GCAAGGACCUCUCGCUAUGGGAGCGGCCGAUGUCCGAUUAGCUUGUUGGUGGGGUAAUGGCUUACCAAGGCGACGAUCGGUAGCUGGUCUGAGAGGAUGAUCAGCCACACUGGGACUGAGACACGGCCCAGACUCCUACGGGAGGCAGCAGUGGGGAAUUUUGGACAAUGGGGCAACCCUGAUCCAGCCAUGCCGCGUGCGGGAAGAAGGCCUUCGGGUUGUAAACCGCUUUUAGUCGGGAAGAAAAGGCCUGGGCGAAUACCCUGGGUUUUUGACGGUACCGGCGGAAUAAGCACCGGCUAACUACGUG